AUUGAACGCUGGCGGCGUGCUUAACACAUGCAAGUCGAUCGGUAACGCGGGGGCAACCCUGGCGACGAGAGGCGGACGGGUGAGGAACGCUUGGGAAUCUGCCCUUCAGCGGGGGACAACACGGGGAAACUCGUGCUAAUACCGCACACGCUCCACGGAGGAAAGCCGGGGACCGCAAGGCCUGGCACUGAGGGAUGAGCCCAAGUCGGAUUAGCUAGUUGGCGGGGUAACGGCCCACCAAGGCGACGAUCCGUAGCUGGUCUGAGAGGAAGAUCAGCCACACUGGGACUGAGACACGGCCCAGCCUCGUACGGGAGGCAGCAGUGGGGAAUAUUGGACAAUGGGGGAAACCCUGAUCCAGCGACGCCGCGUGGGUGAAGAAGGCCUGCGGGUUGUAAAGCCCUUUCGGUAGGGACGAAAGCUCUCGACCUAACACGUCGGGAGGUUGACUUAACCUACAAAAGAAGCACCGGCUAACUCUGUGCCAGCCGCCGCGGUAACAC
rnacentral:rRNA from 1 species